rnacentral:rRNA from 1 species
CUGGGCGUAAAGCGUCUGUAGGUGGUUUUUUAAGUUUCGUAUGAAACUCCAGGGCUCAACCCUGGAUUGUGCGAAAAACUGGGGAACUUGAGUGUGGGAGAGGCAAGCAGAACGGUAUGAGUAGGGGUGCAAUCCGUUGAUACAUACCAGAAUACCAAAAGCGAAGGCAGCUUGCUGGAACAUUACUGACACUGAGAGACGAAAGCAUGGGGAGCGAAAGGGAUUAGAUACCCCUGUAGUCCACGCCCUAAACGAUGGAUGCUAGGUGUUGGACGUAAGUUCAGUGCUCAAGCUAACGCAUUAAGCAUCCCGCCUGAGGAGUACGGCCGCAAGGUUAAAACUCAAAUGAAUAGACGGGGACCCGCACAAGCAGUGGAUCAUGUGGUUUAAUUCGACAAUAAACGAGGAACCUCACCUAGGCUUGACAUUGAUAGAAUCCACCAGAAAUGGAGGAGUGCCCGCAAGGGAGCUUGAAAACAGGCGCUGCAUGGUUGUCGUCAGCUCGUGUCGUGAG